GACGAACGCUGGCGGCGUGCCUAAUGCAUGCAAGUCGAGCGAGCUACAGUCUUCGGACUGUAGCUUAGCGGCGAACGGGUGAGUAACACGUAGGUGAUCUACCCUUCAGAGGAGGACAACCUCAGGAAACUGAGGCUAAACCUUCAUACGUUCACUGGUAGGGAUACUGGUGAAGAAAGAGUUACCGUCAAGGUAGCUGCUGAAGGAUGAGCCUGCGGCCCAUCAGGUAGUUGGUGUGGUAACGGCUCACCAAGCCGAAGACGGGUAACCGGUCUGAGAGGAUGUCCGGUCACACUGGGACUGAGACACGGCCCAGACUCCUACGGGAGGCAGCAGCAGGGAAUCUUGGGCAAUGGGCGAAAGCCUGACCCAGCGACGCCGCGUGGAGGAAGAAGUCCUUCGGGGCGUAAACUCCUGGACUGGGGGACGAGGAAGGACGGUACCCCAGUAGAAAGGGACGGCUAACUACGUGCCAGCAGCCGCGGUAAAACGUAGGUCCCGAGCGUUGUUCGGAUUCACUGGGUGUAAAGGGCGCGUUGGUGGUUGUCUGUGUCUCAUGUGAAAACUCAGGGCUCAACUCUGAGAUUGCGUGGGAAACUAGGCAGCUAGAGGACGGUAGAGGGG
rnacentral:rRNA from 1 species